AUUAUGGCGUGGUGGCAGGGAGGAGGCCUAAAAUGAGCGAAGUUUGCAAUGCCCACUUCGCGCGGGCAGCAAGGGCUGCGUGAGUUGGCGCGGCUCGGAGGGCCGGGGAAUGAACCCAGCCUGCAGCCCCCGCGGAGGCCUGGGCCAGCCAGGGGUCAGCCAGUGAGAAGCAGAAGGAACAAGUGCUUUUGAGGGUCGCCGCCAUCGGCCACCCUCUAGGGCUCCGGCUCCCUCCCUCUCCCUUACCCUUGGCACCCACAGCCCAGCGACAGGCAGGUCCCUUCACAGAAAAUCUGAGAAAGCCAGAGUGCUUGGGCGCAAGCAGGCGGAAGAGGUGGUCCCCCGCAGGCCGGGGCGCUCCUCCAGCGACGCGGCGGGGCUAAGGCUGCCAGCCUGGGAGACUGGGGAGUAGAGGGACCCCCAGUCCCCGGGGGAUCCGCCUUCUGGGCUGCCCAGCUCCCCGCAGUGCGGCGCCGGCGACUCCAACGCGUAGAAGCUGUGGUCCGCUAUGCGCAGCGUUUGAGUCAGUGCCCAGAUGUAGUUGUGGGCGAAGCGCAGCGUUUCGAUCUUGGUGAGCUUCGCGUCAUCUGGGAAGGUGGGCAGGACACCGCGCAGCGCGUCCAGCGCCGAGUUGAGGUUGUGCAUUCGAUUGCGCUCGCGGUCGUUGGCCUUCUUGCGCCGACUCCGUCGCUGCUUGCUUAGUGCCAACUCGCUCUUAGGCCGGCUGCGUCCCGCGCGCCGUGCCCGAGCUUCCUUGGCGCCCCUCGGCAGCCUCCCCCUUCCGCCUCCGCGCAGCUCCCCCGUGUGCGAGUGGGGCUGGGCGGAGCGGACGUGGGGCAGGUCACUUCGUCGUCCAAGGCUCUGGGGAAGGACCGCUCCGUCUCACCGGUCACUUGGACAGUGGACGCACCCGAGGGAUGAGGCGUCAUCCUACGGCGGGGUCAGAGGGAAGGAUUCAAUAGGAAUAUGGGAAGAGAUACCAGAGACCUCAUUCUCUCUGCCAUGUGAGAACACAAUGAGAAGGCAGCCAUCUGUAAGACGGGAAGAGAGCUUUCACCAGGAGGUGAACUGGCCAGAACAUUGA
rnacentral:lncRNA from 1 species